UACGUAGGGUGCGAGCGUUAAUCGGAUUUACUGGGCGUAAAGGGUGCGUAGGUGGCUAUUUAAGUCGGAUGUGAAAGCCCGGGGCUCAACCUCGGAAUUGCAUUCGAUACUGGGUGGCUAGAGUUCGGUAGAGGGCGGCGGAAUUUCCGGUGUAGCGGUGAAAUGCGUAGAUAUCGGAAGGAACAUCAAUGGCGAAGGCAGCCGCCUGGGCCUGGACUGACACUGAGGCACGAAAGCGUGGGUAGCAAACAGG
rnacentral:rRNA from 1 species